UUGAGCGCUGGCGGCAGGCCUAACACAUGCAAGUCGAACGGUAACAGAAAGCAGCCUGCUGCUUUGCUGACGAGUGGCGGACGGGUGAGUAAUGUCUGGGAAACUGCCUGAUGGAGGGGGAUAACUACUGGAAACGGUAGCUAAUACCGCAUAACGUCGCAAGACCAAAGAGGGGGACCUUCGGGCCUCUUGCCAUCGGAUGUGCCCAGAUGGGAUUAGCUAGUAGGUGGGGUAACGGCUCACCUAGGCGACGAUCCCUAGCUGGUCUGAGAGGAUGACCAGCCACACUGGAACUGAGACACGGUCCAGACUCCUACGGGAGGCAGCAGUGGGGAAUAUUGCACAAUGGGCGCAAGCCUGAUGCAGCCAUGCCGCGUGUAUGAAGAAGGCCUUCGGGUUGUAAAGUACUUUCAGCGGGGAGGAAGGGAGUAAAGUUAAUACCUUUGCUCAUUGACGUUACCCGCAGAAGAAGCACCGGCUAACUCCGUG
rnacentral:rRNA from 1 species